rnacentral:lncRNA from 1 species
GGCAGGGGAGGUGGGGGUGCAGGCGCAAGUGGGGGGUGCUAGGGAAAUAAAGGAGAGAGAGAAGGAAGAGGAAGGGAGAGGAGGAAGAAAGAGAAGGAAAAAUGAGAAGGGAAAGAAAGGGGAGGAAAAAGAAAGAAGGAAGAGAAAGAGGAGGAAAGGGAGGGGAAAAAGAUGGCGGAAAUUGAGGGAUUCGACUGCGCGCGGCGAUGGACUUGACGGGCACGCGACGAAAAUUACGGGGAGCGGAAAAUGGAGAGUUGACGAGCCGGGGCCGGGACGGCGGGUCCGACGGAAGGGAAAGGAUUUGACGGAGCUCGGCGGUCGGAAAAAAAUUUUGGAGAGUAUUUUUAACGGGUGAUUUAACUGGGUGUAUUUUACGGGCGUUACAAACCUACCCCACUUAAAUUGAAUCUCGUCCUCGAGAUUCGGCUGAGUCCUGAACAGAUGGGGAAAUUCCUUCUUUAACGCAUCCUCGCGUUCCCAAGUGGCUUCUUCCUCACCAUGCCUACUCCAUUGAACUCUGCAAAUCCGCACUGCUGAAGUCCUUGUCCUUCUGGUGACUGUGUCC